rnacentral:misc_RNA from 1 species
GAUGAAGAACGUAGCGAAAUGCGAUAAGUAAUGCGAAUUGCAGAAUUCCGUGAGUCAUCGAAUCUUUGAACGCACAUUGCGCCCUCUGGUAUUCCGGAGGGCAUGCCUGUCUGAGCGUCAUUGUCAACCCUCAAGCUCAGCUUGCUGUUGGGUCCCCGUCGUUGCUUUAACGGCGGACCCGAAAGGUAAUGGCAGAGUCCGUGAGACCCUAGACGCAGCGAGCUUCUAGCGCGCGUCUGGACGUUUUUCGGGCUCGGUCUUAACUAGAUGAUAACUUCCGAUUGACCUCAGAUCAGGUAGGGAUACCCGCUGAACUUAAGCAUAUCAAUAAGCGGAGGA